UGGGUAACGUGCCCCAAUGAUCGGGACAACCCGGGGAAACCCGGGCUAAUACCGAAUGUGCUCCCCUCACAUCAGUGAGAGGUGAAAAGGAAGCUUCGGCCUCCGCAUUGGGACCGGCCCGCGGCCCAUUAGCUUGUUGGUGAGGUAAAGACUCGCCAAGGCUGCGAUGGGUAGCUGGUCUGAGAGGACGAUCAGCCACACUGGGACUGAGACACGGCCCAGACUCCUACGGGAGGCAG
rnacentral:rRNA from 1 species